UUCAGCACAUAAAACUCCUCUCGAACUCCAAAUCCCCAAGAGCUUCUUCAGAGCUUUCGUUUCAUCUCCAGAGGAUUCAUUCGAAGCACCAAGAGGAAGAAGAAGAAGAAGAAGAGAUGGCGAUUUUGAGGAGCAGCAAGAUCAACGGCGGAGGUGCGUCACGGAGGAGUUCGAGCCGUCUGAUCCCGAAGAGAGGGCAAGUGAAGGUGGGGAUUGUGGUGGGGUUGGCCCAUUCUUUCGCUUCCAUCUUCUCUCUCAAUCUCAGAAACAGACGUGCUCAGUUUUCUCAGUGACCAUGCUGCACUCCCCAUGAGUUUUUUGCUUCUUCUUUCUCAGUCCGAGAGAAAGAGGGAGAAAGAGAUGGGUGUUUUGUUGCUGUGUUUCUUUGUUUGUCUUUCUGGAAGUCUUAGGAAACAACGGUUUGGUCUUGUAAUUAAGAUGUUUUUCUUUUUAAUUUUGUACACAUUUUUGUAGAAUGAAAUAUAAUUUUGCAGAUGAGUUACGGUUC